CUUUGAAAUUAUUUUAAAUUAUCUCCUUUAAGGGAAAAUCCAUGAACCAAUCAGGAGAGGGGGCAGGACCUUUUCAGGACAUCAGGAUUAGGUGUUUCCAAAAUCUGAGAUUUCUUUUUUCGAAUUUCAGGAUGUCAGGAUUUUCUUUUUAAAUUGGGGACCUCAGGAAGCCUGGGAUUUUAGGAUCAGGACCCCUCGCACACCACCCCUCCCAAUCCUGAAUUUCAAAGACAAUUUCAUUGAAAUAAAAAAUUAAUUACGAGAGCUAUCAAAAGUUUUGAAAAAGGUAAAUAUUGUAUCUAUCAUUAUUAAGUUGUGAAUUCUUUUUUAUAGUCAACACGUAUUAAACCCCUGCAAAAUUCCAAUUAUUACAUUUACAGCUUGAUGAACUAUCACAAGUCUAAAAAUAACCAUUUUUAAAGGAUGAUAGUUAAACAAAUUUCUUUACCAAUUUCUAUUUUUAAUCACCAAAUUCACUAUGUAUAUUCGAUGCCACAGCUGGUGGAGUUUUAAUUUCCAGAGGGUAUCAGCAGCCCAGUAGUCUGCACUUCUGUGCAUGCUGACAAGAAUGAUCAUUGAUAUGGUCAUAUUUAUAAAUUAAUUGUUGGCAAAACUUUUGAAUUUUUGAAAUACUUAGGCUUUUCUACUUCAGGAAUAGAUAGCCUAAGCUGUAUUUGGCAAAACUUUUAGGAAUUUUGGUGUUCAAUGCUCUUCAACUUCGUACUUUAUUUGGCCUUUUUAGGAUCAGAG
rnacentral:lncRNA from 1 species